ACCCGUGUAGUCCAAUAGCAGAGACAUCCGCCUCAAGAGCGGACCAGUGCGAGUGCAACUCUCGUCACGGGUA
rnacentral:tRNA from 1 species